GGGUUUUUAUUUUAUACUUUAAACAUUGAUUUUAUUUUUUAUGUUUUUAGAUGUUCAUGUUUUUGAAUGUUUUAUUUAAAUAAUAUAAAAAAUAAAAUAUAUAUUGACAUGGAUUAAACAAAGAUAUAUAUUAUUCUAUGUUGCAUAAACAAAUUGGCAAAAUAGAGAUGGAAGAUAAAAAUAUGGUCAAAGUAAU
rnacentral:ncRNA from 2 species